CAGUGGCAGACGGGUGAGUAAUACUUAGGUAAUCUACCUUCGAGAUGGGGACAACCUUCCGAAAGGAGGGCUAAUACCGAGUAAGACCACAGUUUCUUCGGGGACAGUGGUUAAAGGUGGCCUCUACUUGUAAGCUAUCGCUUGAAGAUGAGCCUAAGCACCAUUAGCUUGUUGGUGGGGUAACGGCCUACCAAAGCUGCGAUGGUUAGCUGAUCUGAGAGGUUGAUCAGCCACACUGGAACUGAGACACGGUCCAGACUCCUACGGGAGGCAGCAGUAGGGAAUUUUGCGCAAUGGGGGAAACCCUGACGCAGCGACGCCGCGUGGGUGAUGAAGGAUUUCGGUUCGUAAAGCCCUGUCAGGAGGGAAGAAAAACGGUAUGGCUAAUAUCCAUGCCGCUUGACGGUACCUCCAGAGGAAGCACCGGCUAACUACGUGCCAGCAGCCGCGGUAAUACGUAGGGUGCUAGCGUUGUUCGGAAUUAUUGGGCGUAAAGAGCGUGUAGGUGGCUAGGAAAGUUGGAUGUGAAAGCCCUGGGCUCAACCCAGGAAGUGCAUCCAAAACUGCUUAGCUAGAGGGCGAGAGAGGGAGGUGGAAUUCCUAGUGUAGAGGUGAAAUUCGUAGAUAUUAGGAGGAAUACCGGUGGCGAAGGCGGCCUCCUGGAUCGAUCCUGACACUGAGACGCGAAAGCGUGGGGAGCAAACAGGAUUAGAUACCCUGGUAGUCCACGCCGUAAACGAUGAGUACUAGAUGUUGUGGGAAUUGACCCCUGCAGUGUCGCAGCUAACGUAUUAAGUACUCCGCCUGGGAAGUACGGUCGCAAGGCUAAAACUCAAAGGAUUGACGGGGGCCCGCACAAGCGGUGGAGCAUGUGGUUUAAUUCGAUGCUACGCGAAGAACCUUACCUGGGUUAGACUACUUCGGACAGCUUUAGAGAUAGAGUUUCACUU
rnacentral:rRNA from 1 species